AACAGAUGAUGCCUAUCAACUGUUUAAAAAGAUGGUUCUGCUAUCACUCUUGGGAUGGACCUGCGGUGCAUUAGCUAGUUGGUAGGGUAACGGCCUACCAAGGCGAUGAUGCAUAGCCCGAGUUGAGAGACUGAUCGGCCACAUUGGGACUGAGACACGGCCCAAAAACUCCUACGGGAGGCAGCAGUAGGGAAUCUUCCACAAUGGACGCAAGUCUGAUGGAGCAAACGCCGCGUGAGUGAAGUAAGGGUUUCGGCUCGUAAAGCUCUGUUGUUGGUGAAGAAGGACAGGGGUAGUAACUGACCUUUGUUUGACGGUAAUCAAUUAGAAAGUCACGGCUAACUACGUGCCAGCAGCCGCGGUAAU
rnacentral:rRNA from 1 species